UCCUAACACCAUUGUAGUGGAUUUUUUGUUGAAGAACCCCUUUCAUGUCCCACAUCAGAUUCAAGCUUCUUAGAAAAAGCAGCAUCAAUCACGUAACAGACAAAAGUCUGCGUAAUCAAAAUGCGCAACGAGAAGGUUUCAGUGUGGCGGAUGCUACCUUGUAUUCUGUCAAAACCGUCUUGCCAUCUCCAUAACCUGGACUGGGAAGGGGGUAUCCUGUUUCGGGGAUUAUUUUUCUGAAGACCAUUCCUCAUACUAAAGUCCCCUCUUAUUCGCUGAUUAAGAGGUGAUGACUACUCCACUCCACAACCAUUGUCAACUUUCUCCUGACAUGACCUGAAGCCACGUCUUAUGUAUCCGCUCAUCCAUUGGCACAUUGAUUCUUUCCCCUCCAAGCACUUUUUUUGUCUUCCCAGUCAAAUCCUGUCCUCCACCGGUCAAGCCUAUGGACACCUCAAGUCAUGCCUCAUACCCUCAUUCAAUCACAGCUGAGAUCCCUUUCCAACACGGU